rnacentral:rRNA from 1 species
GAUGAACGCUGGCGGCGUGCCUAAUACAUGCAAGUCGAGCGAACAGACGAGGAGCUUGCUCCUCUGACGUUAGCGGCGGACGGGUGAGUAACACGUGGAUAACCUACCUAUAAGACUGGGAUAACUUCGGGAAACCGGAGCUAAUACCGGAUAAUAUAUUGAACCGCAUGGUUCAAUAGUGAAAGACGGUUUUGCUGUCACUUAUAGAUGGAUCCGCGCCGCAUUAGCUAGUUGGUAAGGUAACGGCUUACCAAGGCAAUGAUGCGUAGCCGACCUGAGAGGGUGAUCGGCCACACUGGAACUGAGACACGGUCCAGACUCCUACGGGAGGCAGCAGUAGGGAAUCUUCCGCAAUGGGCGAAAGCCUGACGGAGCAACGCCGCGUGAGUGAUGAAGGUCUUCGGAUCGUAAAACUCUGUUAUUAGGGAAGAACAAAUGUGUAAGUAACUAUGCACGUCUUGACGGGACCUAAUCAGAAAGCCACGGCUAACUACGUG